UCAAAAUUACACCCCAAACUCCAAACAGUUCCCCUUCCAAACACUGACUUGAACUCUUACUUCGGAUGUUAGAUUGGAAUGAACCUUAGUCGAAUGUUCUCAACUGAGAACAUACGACGACGAUUGAUUACAACCUCAACCUGCCCAACUCGUACCAGAAUAGGAUUUAGAAGUGUUUUUCAGGGCUUAUCUUGGAUUCGAAAUUCGAGAUGCUCGACUGAAAUUCGAAGGAAUCCACUUACUGUUCAGGGAUGAGGGGGUCGGGUGGAGCUGGGGAGUGAACUUGGAGGCGUUUGGGUGAACUAGGGUUAGGGGUCAGUUCUUUAAUCUAAAAUUCGAAGAACACGGGGAUGAUUCAAAGACGAUGGAGGGUGGAUUUGGAUUGGGGGUGGUGAGGAGGUUAAGGGGGGUUAGUUUGGUGGUGGUCGGAUACGGGGCCUCGAAGGAAUCCACUUACUGUUCAGGGAUGAGGGGGUCGGGUGGAGCUGGGGAGUGAACUUGGAGGCGUUUGGGUGAACUAGGGUUAGGGGUCAGUUCUUUAAUCUAAAAUUCGAAGAACACGGGGAUGAUUCAAAGACGAUGGAGGGUGGAUUUGGAUUGGGGGUGGUGAGGAGGUUAAGGGGUGUUAGUUUGGUGGUGGUCGGAUACGGGGCCACCGAGUUUUUUAGGCGUAGGGUGACAUGGCGGCUAGGGUUUGGUGAGGGAGAUGGUCUUUCUCUUGAGAGAGACGAUGAGAAUGAGUGAGGUGGCUAUGGAGGGGGAAGGGUGUGGUUAGGGAUAUAUACU
rnacentral:lncRNA from 1 species